GCUACUCGAAUUUUGCACACCUCUUCGUGGUGAGUAGUAGAAAACGACACUUGACGUUAAUCAAGUGCGGCGAAGAUGCAAUU
rnacentral:ribozyme from 1 species